rnacentral:rRNA from 1 species
GGGUUGGCGCCGGUCUAUCACAUGCAAGUCGAGCGGAUGACGGGAGCUUGCUCCUUGAUUCAGCGGCGGACGGGUGAGUAAUGCCUAGGAAUCUGCCUGGUAGUGGGGGACAACGUUUCGAAAGGAACGCUAAUACCGCAUACGUCCUACGGGAGAAAGCAGGGGACCUUCGGGCCUUGCGCUAUCAGAUGAGCCUAGGUCGGAUUAGCUAGUUGGUGGGGUAAUGGCUCACCAAGGCGACGAUCCGUAACUGGUCUGAGAGGAUGAUCAGUCACACUGGAACUGAGACACGGUCCAGACUCCUACGGGAGGCAGCAGUGGGGAAUAUUGGACAAUGGGCGAAAGCCUGAUCCAGCCAUGCCGCGUGUGUGAAGAAGGUCUUCGGAUUGUAAAGCACUUUAAGUUGGGAGGAAGGGCAGUAAGCUAAUACCUUGCUGUUUUGACGUUACCGACAGAAUAAGCACCGGCUAACUCUGUGCCAGCAGCCGCGGUAAUACAGAGGGUGCAAGCGUUAAUCGGAAUUACUGGGCGUAAAGCGCGCGUAGGUGGUUUGUUAAGUUGGAUGUGAAAGCCCCGGGCUCAACCUGGGAACUGCAUCCAAAACUGGCAAGCUAGAGUACGGUAGAGGGUGGUGGAAUUUCCUGUGUAGCGGUGAAAUGCGUAGAUAUAGGAAGGAACACCAGUGGCGAAGGCGACCACCUGGACUGAUACUGACACUGAGGUGCGAAAGCGUGGGGAGCAAACAGGAUUAGAUACCCUGGUAGUCCACGCCGUAAACGAUGUCAACUAGCCGUUGGAAUCCUUGAGAUUUUAGUGGCGCAGCUAACGCAUUAAGUUGACCGCCUGGGGAGUACGGCCGCAAGGUUAAAACUCAAAUGAAUUGACGGGGGCCCGCACAAGCGGUGGAGCAUGUGUUUAAUUCGAAGCAACGCGAGAACCUUACCAGGCUGACAUGCAGAGACUUUCAGAGAUGGAUUGUGCUUCGGAACUCUGACACAGUGCUGCAUGCUGUCGUCAGCUCGUGUCUGGGAAUGUUGGUAAGUCAGUACGAGCGCACCUGUCCUAGUUACAGCACGUUAUGGUGGCACUCUAAGGAACUGCUGUGACACUGAGAAGUGGGAUGACGCUCAGUCACUCAGGGC